UAUGGAUGAUCGGUGUUGACUUGCUUGGAAUCUAAGUAAUGAAGACAAUGUCAACAUGAAUGCAGUUAACAAUUACUGAAAGAUGUCUUGAAAGAUGUCUCAAGUACGAAUCCUCAUCCCCAAUUGAUUUAUAAAAAAUAAAAAUAAAAAAACAUUUACCGAUAAUCCCCGUCAUGAUAUGCAUUGGAUGCUAUACAUUUUUCUGUCUCAU
rnacentral:lncRNA from 1 species